AUCUAGGCAGGGACCGACAGGGUCCGACAGGGUCCGACAGGUGCGUGUGUUCAGGGUCCGACAGGUGUGUGACAGGUGUGUGUGUUCAGGGUGUGACAGGUGUGUGACAGGUGUGUGACAGGUGUGUGUGUUCAGGGUGUGACAGGUGUGUGACAGGUGUGUGACAGGUGUGUGACAGGUGUGUGUGUUCAGGGUGUGUGACAGGUGUGUGACAGGUGUGUGUGUUCAGGGUGUGACAGGUGUGUGUGUGACAGGUGUGUGUGUUCAGGGUGUGACAGGUGUGUGACAGGU